GUGCCAUUCGUAGCAGGCAAGCUCCAGAGGUCACCCUAUUAGUCUAUCAAUUCCUAGCACAGAUUAAACUCAUAGUUGGGUCUCUGUAAAUAUUUACGCCGUAAAUAAGGAGAGCAGAGCUAUCCAGGCUGAGAGGAGAACACGUGAGGCUAAGUCCAGGAAGGAGCUACAGGUGUGGCUGGAAUAUGCGGUGGGGAACCUGGGAAGAUUGAAUGUCCUCUGGAGUCCACGGGGGUUUCCAGGGGGAGAAGCAAAACAAAACGGAGCAUAGCGGCACAGUGGGACAGACUUUCCCAAGAUCCCCAGCUGGAUACCCCAAGAGAUCCAGCAGAAGAAAAACCAAAGCUGUAUAUGAGAUAAUUCUACAACACAGGGCAUCCAGUUUACCUAUGGAGAAAAUGAAGCUAAGGGUGAACUCAUGAUUUAAAGAUACAAACCUGGUAAGAAAAUAUGCCAGCAUCAAGAGACCAGCAGACACAACAAAUAGGAGCAUUGCUAUUCCCAAAUGCCUAAAUUAAUAUUCUAAAAUAAAUAUUCUGAAAGUGAGAAUAAAGUAAUAACG
rnacentral:lncRNA from 1 species